rnacentral:rRNA from 1 species
UACGGAGGGAGCUAGCGUUGUUCGGAAUUACUGGGCGUAAAGCGCGCGUAGGCGGCUUUGUAAGUUAGAGGUGAAAGCCCGGAGCUCAACUCCGGAACUGCCUUUAAAACUGCAUCGCUUGAAUCCAGAAGAGGUGAGUGGAAUUCCGAGUGUAGAGGUGAAAUUCGUAGAUAUUCGGAAGAACACCAGUGGCGAAGGCGGCUCACUGGACUGGUAUUGACGCUGAGGUGGCGAAAAGCGUGGGGAGCAAACAGG